AGGGAUCUGUAGUCUGUUGAAAGAAUUGGGCCAAGGUUGCGUGUGCCUGUAGUCCCAGCUACAUGGGAGGUUGAGUAGGGGGAAUCCCUUGAGGCUAUGAGUUCAAGGUCAGAGUUUGCUAUGAUUGUGCCUGUGAAUAGCCACUCCACUCCAACCUGGGCAACAUAGUGAGACCCUCUCUCAAAAAGAGAAAAAAGAAUUGUGCAAAGGUCACUCCUUGACUCCACUUCAUGCCCUUCAGCUCUUGUGUGAUUGUUUUUUGCUGAACAUGUGCUUUGUCAGAUCCUCCCCUCCACAUUUUUCCUUCCCAGUGCCUCAACCCAAGUUAGAUCCUUGUGUUUCCAGUCUGUUCAGAGGUAUCAAUCAAGGCAGCCAAUGACUCUGGUUGUUGAAGUACCUGUU
rnacentral:lncRNA from 1 species